UGGCCGUAAACGAUGUGGACUUGGUGUUGGAAUGGCUCCGAGCUGCUCCAGUGCCGAAGGGAAGCUGUUAAGUCCACCGCCUGGGAAGUACGGUCGCAAGACUGAAACUUAAGGAUUGGCGGGAGCACCACAACGCGUGGAGCCUGCGGUUUAAUUGGAUUCAACGCCGGACAUCUCACCAGGGGCGGACAGCAGAAUGAUGGCCAGGUUGAUGACCUUGCUUGACAAGCUGAGAGGUGGUGCAUGGCGUCAGUGACU
rnacentral:rRNA from 1 species